GAUCAACGCUGGCGGCGUGCCUAACACAUGCAAGUCGAACGCCCUUUCGCUUCGGCGAAAGAGGGAGUGGCGGACGGGUGAGCAACACGUGGGUGAUCUGCCUGCAGGGUGAGGAAUACCGGCGAGAAAUCGCUGACAAGUCCGCAUAGGGAUUGGCGAACAAUCAAAGCUUCUCUUCAUGAGAGGUGCCUACAGAGGAGCCCGCGUCCGAUUAGUUGGNGGUGGGGUAAUGGCCUACCAAGACGACGAUCGGUAGCUGGUCUGAGA
rnacentral:rRNA from 1 species